rnacentral:rRNA from 1 species
AUUGAACGCUGGCGGCAUGCCUUACACAUGCAAGUCGAACGGCAGCGGGGACUUCGGUCCGCCGGCGAGUGGCGAACGGGUGAGUAAUGUAUCGGAACGUACCUUUCAGUGGGGGAUAACGUAGCGAAAGUUACGCUAAUACCGCCUAUUCUCUGAGGAGGAAAGCAGGGGACCUUCGGGCCUUGUGCUGAUUGAGCGGCCGAUAUCAGAUUAGCUAGUUGGUGAGGUAAAGGCUAACCAAGGCGACGAUCUGUAGCGGGUCUGAGAGGAUGAUCCGCCACACUGGAACUGAGACACGGUCCAGACUCCUACGGGAGGCAGCAGGGGGGAAUUUUGGACAAUGGGCGCAAGCCUGAUCCAGCCAUGCCGCGUGAGUGAAGAGGGCCUUCGGGUUGUAAAGCUCUUUCGGCCGGGAAGAAAUCGCACAGGCUAAUACCCUGUGUGGAUGACGGUACCGGAAUAAGAAGCACCGGCUAACUACGUGCCAGCCGCCGCAGUAAGAC